GCAGUCGAACGGGAUCCAUGCAGUAGCAAUACUGCGGAAGAUCUAGUGGCGAACGGGUGAGGAACACGUGAAGAACCUGCCCCGAACUCUGGGAUAACAGUUGGAAACGACUGCUAAUACCGGAUGCCGUUGUUGGAGUCACCUGGCUCUACAACGAAAGUUUUUCGGUUCGGGAGGGCUUCGCGGCCUAUCAGCUAGUUGGUGAGGUAACGGCUCACCAAGGCAUCGACGGGUAGCUGGUCUGAGAGGAUGAUCAGCCACACUGGGACUGAGACACGGCCCAGACUCCUACGGGAGGCAGCAGUGGGGAAUCUUGCGCAAUGGGCGAAAGCCUGACGCAGCAACGCCGCGUGCGGGAAGAAGGCUUUAGGGUUGUAAACCGCUUUCAGCAGGGAAGAAAAUGACGGUACCUGCAGAAGAAGGUGCGGCCAACUACGUGCCAGCAGCCGCGGUGACACGUAGGCACCAAGCGUUGUCCGGAUUUAUUGGGCGUAAAGAGCUCGUAGGCGGUUCAGUAAGUCGGGUGUGAAAACUCUGGGCUUAACCCAGAGCCGCCACCCGAUACUGCUGUGACUUGAGUCCGGUAGGGGAGCGGGGAAUUCCUGGUGUAGCGGUGAAAUGCGCAGAUAUCAGGAGGAACACCGGUGGCGAAGGCGCCGCUCUGGGCCGAGACUGACGCUGAGGAGCGAAAGCAUGGGUAGCAAACAGGAUUAGAUACCCUGGUGGUCCAUGCCGUAAACGUUGGGCACUAGGUGUGGGCAUCAACCAACGAUGUCCGCGCCGUCGCUAACGCAUUAAGUGCCCCGCCUGGGGAGUACGGUCGCAAGACUAA
rnacentral:rRNA from 1 species